CCAACGUGGAUAUCCCGGGAGGUCACUCUCCCCGGGCUCUGUCCUAGUGGCGCGUGGGAGCUUAGGGCAUUGCCCGGUGAUGGUACAGUCCCUUUCCACAACGUUGGAGAUGAAGCUGGGCUUCCAAGUCUGCGCCUGCAUAUUCCUACGACUUCUCAGAGUCCUGUGGACAAUGACUGAGGAGACAAACCAUGCAGGAAACAAGA
ensembl:snoRNA small nucleolar RNA SNORA73 family